AUUGAACGCUGGCGGCAUGCUUUACACAUGCAAGUCGAACGGCAGCGCGGGCUUCGGCCUGGCGGCGAGUGGCGAACGGGUGAGUAAUGCAUCGGAACGUGCCCAGUAGUGGGGGAUAGCCCGGCGAAAGCCGGAUUAAUACCGCAUACGACCUGAGGGUGAAAGCGGGGGACCGAAAGGCCUCGCGCUCUUGGAGCGGCCGAUGUCGGAUUAGCUAGUUGGUGGGGUAAAGGCUUACCAAGGCGACGAUCCGUAGCUGGUCUGAGAGGACGACCAGCCACACUGGGACUGAGACACGGCCCAGACUCCUACGGGAGGCAGCAGUGGGGAAUGUUGGACAAUGGGGGCAACCCUGAUCCAGCCAUGCCGCGUGCGGGAAGAAGGCCUUCGGGUUGUAAACCGCUUUUGUUCGGGAAGAAAUCCUCUGGGCUAAUACCCCGGGGGGAUGACGGUACCGGAAGAAUAAGCACCGGCUAACUACGUG
rnacentral:rRNA from 1 species